GCAGAGAUGGCGGAGCGGUCGAACGCGGCGGUCUUGAAAACCGUUGAUGGGCAACUAUCCGGGGGUUCGAAUCCCUCUCUCUGCGCCA
rnacentral:tRNA from 1 species